rnacentral:rRNA from 1 species
CCUACGGGAGGCUGCAGUGGGGAAUAUUGCACAAUGGAGGGAACUCUGAUGCAGCGACGCCGCGUGAGUGAAGAAGUAAUUCGUUAUGUAAAGCUCUAUCAGCAGGGAAGAAAGUGACGGUACCUGAGAAAGAAGCUCCGGCUAAAUACGUGCCAGCAGCCGCGGUAAUACGUAUGGAGCAAGCGUUAUCCGGAUUUACUGGGUGUAAAGGGAGCGUAGGCGGCCUUGCAAGUCUGAUGUGAAAUGCCGGGGCUCAACCCCGGAGCUGCAUUGGAAACUGUGAGGCUGGAGUGUAGGAGAGGCAGGCGGAAUUCCUGGUGUAGCGGUGAAAUGCGUAGAUAUUAGGAGGAACACCAGUGGCGAAGGCGGCCUACUGGACGGUGACUGACGCUGAGGCUCGAAAGCGUGGGGAGCAAACAGGAUUAGAUACCCCAGUAGUC